rnacentral:lncRNA from 1 species
UUACAGUCACCUGGAGGUUCCAGCAAAUAUGUGGAACUUUUGUGGGGGUGGGAGGGCAGCAGUUGAGAUUCCUCUCCUGGAGUGAUUACAGGGCACCCUGCAGCACAGGCGAGCCUAGCCUAAGUCCUUUCCGUGGGAUGAGCACCUGAGGAAUCCCACAAGCUCCCAGGCCCAGCUGAUGUCUGACUCACCCCAUGAUUUAUCUGCCGACUCCAGCCUGCCUCUCAUCCCGGUGUCUACAGUUCCUAUGUGGGUUCUACAAUACAUAAUUCAGCAUCUCACUGGAAUCUUAUGUUUUGUUCUUGACACUCAAUUAGCCCAUAAACUCCUAGAUAGAAGGGACCACUUCUUUCAAUUUUGUAUCCCCCUCAGCACCUAGUACCAAAGGGUAUACACCAGUUAGCUGAUAGAUCCCCUUGAUAACCAGAAAUACAGACACACCCUCUGGCCUGGCAACUGCAUUUCUAGAAAUUUACACUACUAAAAUACAUAAAUAUGAAAAAUAGUAUGAUCAAAAAUAUGCAUUGUAGACUGUAACAGUACAAAUUGGAAGUAACAUAAAUGUCUAUUAAGACUAGUGAGGCCAGGCCGGGCGCAGUGGUUCACGCCUCUAUAAUCCCAGCACUUUGGGAGACCGAGGCUGGUGGAUCACCUGAGGUCAGGAGUUCGAGACCAGCCUGGCCAACAUGGUGAAACCCCGUAACUACUAAAACUAGAAAAAUUAGCCAGGCGCAGUGGCAGGCGCCUGUAAUCCCAGCAACUUGGGAGCCUGAGGCAGGAGAAGCCAGGAGGCAGAGGAUGCAGUAAGCUGAGAUUGCACCACUGCACUCCAGCCUAGGGUACAGAGCGAGACUCUGUCUCAGGAAAAAAAAAAAAAGACUAGUGAGGCCAGGCACAGCGGAUCAUGCCCGUAAUCCCAACACUUUGGGAGGCCAAGGCAGGAGGACUGCUUGAGCCCAGGAGUCAGAGGUUACAGUGAGCAAUGAUCACACCACUGCAUUUGAGCCUGGGCUAACAGAGCAAGACCCUGUCUCUAAAAAAAAAGAAAAAAAAAGAAUGACCAGUGAAUUUCAGUCCAUUACUGUCCAUUAAAAAAACAAACAGUUGGGAUAUCUAUACACA